GACGAACGCUGGCGGCGUGCCUAAUACAUGCAAGUCGAACGCUGAAGAGAGGAGCUUGCUCUUCUUGGAUGAGUUGCGAACGGGUGAGUAACGCGUAGGUAACCUGCCUGGUAGCGGGGGAUAACUAUUGGAAACGAUAGCUAAUACCGCAUAACAACAGUUGUUGCAUGACAGCUGUUUAAAAGAUGCAAUUGCAUCACUACCAGAUGGACCUGCGUUGUAUUAGCUAGUUGGUGAGGUAACGGCUCACCAAGGCGACGAUACAUAGCCGACCUGAGAGGGUGAUCGGCCACACUGGGACUGAGACACGGCCCAGACUCCUACGGGAGGCAGCAGUAGGGAAUCUUCGGCAAUGGGGGGAACCCUGACCGAGCAACGCCGCGUGAGUGAAGAAGGUUGUCGGAUCGUAAAGCUCUGUUGUAAGAGAAGAACGGGUGUGAGAGUGGAAAGUUCACACUGUGACGGUAGCUUACCAGAAAGGGACGGCUAACUACGUG
rnacentral:rRNA from 1 species